GUUGAUCUUGGCAGACUCUCCGAGUGCAGCGAGUACUUCCGAGCCCUGUCCCGAUCCACAAUGAGAGAGACCUCGGAAAGCCUCGUCCACCUUGAACACGUGUCUUCCUCCGUCUUUCGCAACCUCCUUGAGUUUUCCUUCCUUGGUCAGUUCAAUGUCCCUCAGGAGGAGUUGGGCACACACAUCCAGGUAUAUGCGCGCUACUGGACGUAUGGCGUGAUUUCCCUCAGCGUUGUGAGUCUACCCCAAAACCAACUUCCCGUUUCCUUCCUCUAUGACUCUGCAGGUCAGCAGCUAUCUGCUGGCCGAGGCCUUCCUCUCAAGGUGCUUGUCUGUCCUCGCGGAUAAGCUCAGCCCAGGUAACUGCUUGUCUUACCUGAAUCUGGCUCGGGAGAUCUGCUGUCUUGAGCUUAAGAUGACGGUGUUCACCUACCUGAGUAGAAACCUGCUGGAGCUUCCUCACCUCGUCACGUACGCGGCGCUUAACAGCAGCUGUAAUACAUGAGAACGAAUCUUUGGGGCUGUAAUCGGGAUUUCACCAUGAGGACAGAGCUGACUUUGUGUUUUCUUCCUUGUCCCUUAAACCGAUUCAACCCCUCAGGUGUCUGACUAAUGCAGAGAAGGACAAAGUUGUCCAAAUGAGGAAACUGGGAGACAAACGUCUUUGCAGCCUCAGGAAAGAGAACCUCACCUCCUGGAGUGACCCAGAAACCGAACGUGCCCGGCACGUGUUCUCCCUUAAAGAACUAGGGGACGGCGGCGGGGACUGGCAUCCGAUCACAGAGCUUCCUUUCGCUGCUGAUAAGUGGUGCUUCACUGCAGUGGUCCUGCAUAACUAUCUGUACAUCCUGGGGGGCCAUCGGCAGCCUGUUAAGAGAGGCUGGGAGUUCAAGAUGGCUUCCUUUAGGUAUAAUCCCUUUACUCAUUCGUGGUUCCCAACAGCGCCUCUGAUCAAGCACAGAAGGCACUUCAGUGCAGUGGCCUGUGAGGGCUGCAUUUACGCUGUGGGAGGCUGGUACUUGGACUCACUGGUGACCCCAGACUCCAACACGGCUCUUUAUACAGCUGUAGAAUGCUAUGAUCCAUGGGAGGACACAUGGAGGUUUGUCUCCUCACUGCCACUCAAUGACUUCACCGUGUCCUUGUCCCACGACGUGCCCCUUGCCACUGGCCUGGGACACUGUCUCUAUGUGUUGGGGAGCAUCCAGAGGACCGGAGAGAAACUGCUUCUGCAGUACGACACGAGGAGAGGUAAGGCAGAGGAGCACGGCGUGGUUUUGCAAGAGGAAUACGUUUUUUUUUUUUUCAUACAGCCUAGAAAGCUUGUACUUACUGUCCAUUUUAAGACUGGACUGACGAAUGGUGCUGCUUUGUUGUCUCUGUUAGACUCCUGGUGUGAACUGCUUCCCACCCUUACCAGAGCCGCUGCAGACCUCCCCGCUCUGUACUUCCUGGGUGCCACCGACAGGCUGCAUGUGAUUGGUGGGAACAACUCCGGCAAUGUGGUGACGUCAUUCUGCGUGCAGUCACAAAAAUGGGGUCAGGUGCGAAAGAGAUUAAAGGAAACAAAAAAAAGAAAACAUUGCUCCCGUUUAGCCGAGCUACAGCACAAAGAUGUUUUAAUAUUUAUGCAGACUAUUUUUUUCUGUUUUAAAAAAAAUCCUUUUUAG
ensembl:lncRNA